AGAGAGAGACAUGCGCGCAUAUCAAUAAGCGGAGGAAAAGAAACUAACAAGGAUUCCCUUAGUAACGGCGAGUGAAGCGGGAAGAGCUCAAAUUUGAAAUCUUCAAGGUUUUACCUUGACGAAUUGUAGUUUAAAGAAGUGUUUUCUGCUGAAGUUUUGGUAAAAGUUCUUUGGAAUAGGACAUCAUAGAGGGUGAGAAUCCCGUAUUUGACCAUUAUUUUCAGCUUUGUGAUACACUUUCAAAGAGUCGGAUUGUUUGGGAAUGCAGUCCAAAAUGGGUGGUAAAUUUCAUCUAAAGCUAAAUAUUGGCGAGAGACCGAUAGCGAACAAGUACCGUGAGGGAAAGAUGAAAAGAACUUUGAAAAGAGAGUUAAACAGUACGUGAAAUUGUCAAAAGGGAAGCGUUUGACACCAGUGUUGUUUUCUCGAAAAUCAAUUAAAAAUGGCUCGAUUUUGUAUUGCUUGAGACCUUAAAAGCUCACUGUACAUUUUUCGUGUCUUUUUUAAUGCACUUUUCGUUUAACAAGUCAACAUCAGUUUCUUUUGUUGUAAAAGGGUCAUUGGAAGGUGGCUUUCUUUUCGGAGAAAGUGUUUAUAGCCUUUGGCCUCUGCAAUCGGAAGAGACUGAGGUCUGCAGCGUAGACUCUUCGGGGUUAGAUACAUUUGUGCUAAGUUAUAGCUUUUUAUAGACAACUUGUUGACUAUAAUUAGUCUUGUAGCUUACUCGCUUAUGCUAUUUUACCUACGCUUAGGAUGUUAAGUCAUCGUAUCGCGC
rnacentral:rRNA from 1 species